AGCGAACGCUGGCGGCAGGCUUAACACAUGCAAGUCGAGCGGCGUAGCAAUACGUCAGCGGCAGACGGGUGAGUAACGCGUGGGAACAUACCUUUUGGUUCGGAACAACACAGGGAAACUUGUGCUAAUACCGGAUAAGCCCUUACGGGAAAGAUUUAUCGCCGAAAGAUUGGCCCGACGUCUGAUUAGCUAGUUGGUGAGGUAACCGGCUCACCAAGGCGACGAUCAGUAGCNGGUCUGAGAGGAUGAUCAGCCACAUU
rnacentral:rRNA from 1 species